UACGUAGGGUGCGAGCGUUGUCCGGAAUUAUUGGGCGUAAAGAGCUUGUAGGCGGUUUGUCGCGUCUGCCGUGAAAAUCCGGGGCUCAACCCCGGACUUGCGGUGGGUACGGGCAGACUAGAGUGUGGUAGGGGAGACUGGAAUUCCUGGUAUAGCGGUGAAAUGCGCAGAUAUCAGGAGGAACACCGAUGGCGAAGGCAGGUCUCUGGGCCACUACUGACGCUGAGAAGCGAAAGCGUGGGGAGCGAACAGG
rnacentral:rRNA from 1 species